GAUGAACGCUAGCGGCAGGCCUAAUACAUGCAAGUCGAACGGUGUCUUCGGACAUAGUGGCGCACGGGUGCGUAACACGUAUGCAACCUACCUUACAUUGGGGGAUAGCCUUUCGAAAGGGAGAUUAAUACCGCAUAAGACAGUAGCUGGGCAUCCAGCAGCUGUUAAAGAUUUAUCGAUGUAAGCUGGGCAUGCGUCCAAUUAGCUAGUUGGUGAGGUAACGGCUCAACAAGGCAAUGAUUGGUAGGGGAACUGAGAGGUCAAUCCCCCACACUGGGACUGAGGUACGGGCCAGACUCCUACGGGAGGCAGCAGUAGGGAAUAUUGGGCAAUGGACGCAAGUCUGACCCAGCCAUGCCGCGUGCAGGAUGAAGGCGUUAUGCGUUGUAAACUGCUUUUAUACAGGAAGAAACGACUCUUGCGAGAGGCAUUGACGGUACUGUAUGAAUAAGCACCGGCUAACUCCGUGCCAGCCGCCGCCGUAAGAC
rnacentral:rRNA from 1 species